GUAUUGUGGGGACCACCUCCUCGAGAGGUGUUCGGCAUUAGCCAGCCACGACGGCUUGCACGCGAGUCUAGACCCCUUCGUGCAAACCCAUUCAAGCAGCCGUCGCAGUCAGCCAAGCCACUUUUUUUG
rfam:Burkholderia sp. TSV85 TSV85_43, whole genome shotgun sequence.